AAGUCGAGGGGUAACAGAAGUAGCAAUACUUGCUGACGACCGGCGCACGGGUGAGUAACGCGUAUGCAACCUACCUUUGACUGGAGAAUAGCCCGAAGAAAUUCGGAUUAAUGCUCCAUGAGACCACAAUACCGCAUGAUAUAGUGGUAAAAGCUCCGGCGGUCAAAGAUGGGCAUGCGUGCCAUUAGUUAGUUGGUGAGGUUACGGCUCACCAAGACAACGAUGGCUAGGGGGUCUGAGAGGAUGAUCCCCCACACUGGUACUGAGACACGGACCAGACUCCUACGGAAGGCAGCAGUGAGGAAUAUUGGUCAAUGGACGCAAGUCUGAACCAGCCAUGCCGCGUGCAGGAUGAAUGCCCUAUGGGUUGUAAACUGCUUUUCUACAAGAAGAAACUUCCUGAUGUAUCAGGAACUGACGGUAUUGUAGGAAUAAGCAUCGGCUAACUCCGUGCCAGCAGCCGCGGUAAUACGGAGGAUGCAAGCGUUAUCCGGAUUCAUUGGGUUUAAAGGGUGCGUAGGCGGGGUAGUAAGUCAGUGGUGAAAGCCUGCGGCUUAACCGUAGAAUUGCCAUUGAUACUGCUAUUCUUGAGUGCAGUUGAGUAGGCGGAAUGUGUAAUGUAGCGGUGAAAUGCUUAGAUAUUUACACCAGAAACACCGAUUGCGUAGGCAGCUUACUAAACUGUUAACUGACGCUGAGGCACGAAAGCGUGGAGGAGGCGAACAGGAUUAGAUACCUGGUAGUCACGCUGUAAACUAUGAUCACUCGCGUGUGGGCGAUACAUUGUCAGCGGCUGAGCGAAAGCAUUAAGUGAUCCACUGGAGAAGUACGGCCGCAAGGUUGAAACUCAAAGGAAUUGACGGGGGCCCGCACAAGCGGUGGAACAUGUGGUUUAAUUCGAUGAUACGCGAGGAACUUUACCUGGGCUUAAAUGCAGAACGACGUACCGGGAAACUGGUACUCCCUUCGGGGCGGACUGCAAGGUGCUGCAUGGUUGUCGUCAGCUCGUGCCGUGAGGUGUCGGGUUAAGUCCCAUAACGAGCGCAACCCUCAUUGUUAGUUGCCAGCGAGUAAUGUCGGGGACUCUAACGAAACUGCCGGUGUAAACCGUGAGGAAGGUGGGGAUGACGUCAAAUCAGCACGGCCCUUAUGUCCAGGGCUACACACGUGUUACAAUGGCCAGUACAAAGGGCAGCUACCACGCGAGUGGAUGCUAAUCUCUAAAGCUGGUCUCAGUUCGGAUUGAAGUCUGCAACUCGACUUCAUGAAGCUGGAAUCGCUAGUAAUCGCGCAUCAGCCAUGGCGCGGUGAAUACGUUCCCGGGCCUUGUACACACCGCCCGUCAAGCCAUGGAAGCUUGGGGUACCUGAAGUCCGUAACCGAA
rnacentral:rRNA from 1 species